GAAUUUUAUUGGACAGUUAAUGUUUAAUUAUAGCAAAAACAGCGGUGAAGCAGAUAGGAUAAAAUUGUAAAAUACAGCAAAAUACAUAAUGGCAAUAAUUGCAAGUUUCAUUUGUAAGCUUGUUUUUAUAAUAACAAUAUCUACAUCAUUAUCGGAGCCAUUGUUGCGAGGCAGUAUGACGUCAGCAGAUUCUUUAAAUAGAAUGUUAUCAAAGAAAUCUGCUACGGACCUUGCUAACACUGUUUUGCUUGCACCAAAUACUUGUCUACCAACUGAUGACUUCAAUAUAGAUUUGGAAAAUCUUAUACAAAUGGAGCUAUCUAGAAUGCAAAGUUGCAUUACCCAUCACGACUCAGAAAGAAACAUCAACAAUUAAAGGUGACUGGUUGAUACAAAGAAGAUGUGGACUUUGGUUAAUGCUUUUAUCGUCAAACAUCCUUUUCAAGAGUGGUUUUCUUUCAUUAAAAAAAUAAAAAAUAAAAUUACAAUUUAAAAUGACACUUUUGAAGAAUUAAAAGAC